AAAAUAAUAAAAUUGGAAACCAAUGGGGCAAAUUCGGAAAACUUUAGAAACAAAUUAAAGCAAUAAAACAAAUCAAGAGGAUCAAAAGCACAAAUAUCCCACUGGGAUAAAACAUGCAGGCUGUAAGAAGAAGGAAAGAAAAGCUGCUCCAUUUUCCCCCUUUGCUCCUCACAUUGGCAUUCUCCCCUCUUUUUUCCAACUCCGAUUCAAACCAAGCGCAGCGAGAGCAUCAACGACAUGCCGCCAUCGGUGUUGAGGUCGUGGAAGAGGCGUGCGUCGUGUGCGAAAGCUGCUGAACGUGGGGGCGAUUGCUGCGGCGCUGAGGAAAGGGAAAAAAACUGCUGCUAAGGUUUCUGUUACCUUUGGCCAAUUGGGCCUUGUAACUGGGUUAGAAUUGACCCAAGUUUAUUGGGUUUGGUUAUACAUAAUUUCGGCUCGGGCAACAAUUGGGUAUUAUAGAAUAGUUAGGUGACCAUUUUGUAACUUUUCAGAGUUAAGUGACAAAAAAAUACUAAUAGUUAGGUGACUAAACUUUUAGCUCAUUUGUAGUGCGACUUUCAUGUAUUUGGCAUAUUCUUCUUCUUCUUCUUCUUAUUAUUAUUAGUAUAAACUACACAAUUAAUCACUAAA